rnacentral:misc_RNA from 1 species
GAUGAAGAAUGUAGCGAAAUGCGAUAAGUAAUGUGAAUUGCAGAAUUCAGUGAAUCAUCGAAUCUUUGAACGCACAUUGCGCCCCCCAGUAUUCUGGCGGGCAUGCCUGUUCGAGCGUCAUUUCAACCAUCAAGCCCUGCUUGUGUUGGGGUCCUGCGGCUGCCCGCAGGCCCUGAAAACCAGUGGCGGGCUCGCUAGUCACACCGAGCGCAGUAGCACAUCUCGCUCAGGGCGUGCGGCGGGCUCCAGCCGUUAAAGCACCCACCUUUCGCAAGGUUGACCUCGGAUCAGGUAGGAAUACCCGCUGAACUUAAGCAUAUCAAUAAGCGGAGGA